rnacentral:rRNA from 1 species
GACGAACGCUGGCGGCGUGCUUAACACAUGCAAGUCGAACGGAAAGGCCCUUCGGGGUACUCGAGUGGCGAACGGGUGAGUAACACGUGGGUGAUCUGCCCUGCACUUUGGGAUAAGCCUGGGAAACUGGGUCUAAUACCGAAUAGGACCACGCGCUUCAUGGCGUGUGGUGGAAAGCUUUUGCGGUGUGGGAUGGGCCCGCGGCCUAUCAGCUUGUUGGUGGGGUAAUGGCCUACCAAGGCGACGACGGGUAGCCGGUCUGAGAGGGUGACCGGCCACACUGGGACUGAGAUACGGCCCAGACUCCUACGGGAGGCAGCAGUGGGGAAUAUUGCACAAUGGGCGCAAGCCUGAUGCAGCGACGCCGCGUGAGGGAUGACGGCCUUCGGGUUGUAAACCUCUUUCAAUAGGGACGAAGCGCAAGUGACGGUACCUAUAGAAGAAGCACCGGCCAACUACGUG